rnacentral:tRNA from 1 species
AAGAAAGUGACAGAUUGGUUUGUGGUUGACUUGAAAUUAAUUUAAGGGGGUUCAAUUCCCUCCUUUCUUG